rnacentral:rRNA from 1 species
GGCGGCGUGCCUAAUACAUGCAAGUCGAGCGAACAGAUGAGAAGCUUGCUUCUCUGAUGUUAGCGGCGGACGGGUGAGUAACACGUGGGUAACCUACCUAUAAGACUGGGAUAACUCCGGGAAACCGGGGCUAAUACCGGAUAAUAUUUUGAACCGCAUGGUUCAAUAGUGAAAGACGGUUUCGGCUGUCACUUAUAGAUGGACCCGCGCCGUAUUAGCUAGUUGGUAAGGUAACGGCUUACCAAGGCGACGAUACGUAGCCGACCUGAGAGGGUGAUCGGCCACACUGGAACUGAGACACGGUCCAGACUCCUACGGGAGGCAGCAGUAGGGAAUCUUCCGCAAUGGGCGAAAGCCUGACGGAGCAACGCCGCGUGAGUGAUGAAGGUCUUCGGAUCGUA